rnacentral:rRNA from 1 species
AGGGUUCGAUCCUGGCUCAGGAUGAACGCUAGCGGCACGCUUCAUACAUGCAAGUCGAGGGGCAGCAUAAAGUACUUGUACUUUGAUGGCGACCGGCGAACGGGUGCGUAACGCGUAUGCAACUUACCUUUUACUAGAGAAUAGCCAAGAGAAAUUUUGAUUAAUGCUCUAUACUCUUUUUAACUCACAUGAGUUUUUAAGAAAAGCUCCGGCGGUAAAAGAUGGGCAUGCGUCCUAUUAGCUUGUAGGUGAGGUAACGGCUCACCUAAGCUCCGAUAGGUAGGGGUCCUGAGAGGGAGAUCCCCCACACUGGUACUGAGACACGGACCAGACUUCUACGGAAGGCAGCAGUAAGGAAUAUUGGACAAUGGAGGAAACUCUGAUCCAGCGAUGCCGCGUGAAGGAAGACGGCCCUAUGGGUUGUAAACUUCUUUUAUACAGGAAGAAACCUUUCCACGUGUGGAAAGCUGACGGUACUGUAAGAAUAAGGAUCGGCUAACUCCGUGCCAGCCGCCGCGGUAAUUC